AAAUGAACGAUGAACGUAUCAUUAAAAAAAUGUAUGGAGGUAGCUCUGAGAGCAACAUUCUACAUUUACUGCAGAAGAAACAAGCCCUGUUUCUACAGUUUAAAUUCGAGAAUACUAUAUUAUGCCUAUAGCUUCACGGCCUGUGUUCCACCCAAGACAAUUUAAAAAUUUAAUUUAAAAAUAUUUAUAAUGCGCUAAAACUAUAUAAAUAUUCUAAAGCGCAUGUUUACAAUAUAAUAACAUAAAAAAUAACAAUGUCGCAUAUCUAUAUAAUUAUUAAUUACAGGAAAGUUAAAAAAUGUAUCAUAAAACUAGUAAGGGCUACACAGGUAUGUCAAAGGCUUUCUAAAAACAAAUAAGUAUUCAAACGUUUCUUAAAGACUGGUUACAGUCCGUGCUGCGCAUGUGCGAUUCUUUUUGUUUUGGUAGACUACUUAUCUCUCGUUUCCAUGGUUUCCAGUCCGAUUGCGUAAUAUACGCGCGAUUCUAUAUUUGUUGAUACAAGGAUUGGGAAUACACAGUUUCGUUUUCAACGAUUUGUGACUUUUAUGAAGUGAAAUCCGAUUAAUAACAAAUUAUCGAAACAAUAUGAGAAGAAAGAAAGAAUAUUACGCCAACAAGGAUGCCUUUAAAGUGUGUUUAUUUGAAAUUCAGUCAAGCGCUUCGCCAUGUCGAAGUUAUACUGUCAUAUAAAAGGUAAAUAUUUGUUUUAUACAUUUGAUUAUUUCGUUCUCCAGAGUCGAGACUGGAUCUCUAAUUCGCUGUGAAUUUGUGACAAUUUUUAAGCUAGGGCAAUUUUAUUCAUUUACUGUCUGAGAAAAGAUGGGAUCUCUGAGUUUAUAAUUCAACUUGUUCGAGACAUGUAUUGAUGUAUAUUUGCAGUACUUCACCUCGGCUCAGUACUAUAGCUUGAUUCAGUCAAGGAUAAAAGCUGAUUUCAUCUUUAUAUGGCGAGCUGUUAUCAAAAUGCUACUGGGAUUGAGUUAUUGGAUGAUUAUUGUUUUGUAAUUCAUAUAUCAGGCACAGGGCCUUUUUUAAGGAUUUUCCCGUGGGGGGGGGGGGCAUUUUUUGAAAAGGGACCUUUCUGUGAGAUAAUAUUCUAGAGGGGGAUAGCAAUGGCUGAAAGCCACGUGUGUGGCAAAUAUACCACGCAUGAAUUGGGGGGUCUGGGGGUGUACUCCCCCAGAAAAUUUUUGAAAUUUGACUCCCGGAAAUGUCAUUUCCUGCAUUCUGAGCAUCCAAAUUUGCCCCAAAAUUUAUCCUAACUGGCCAACUAUACUUCUAUUUGAAAUAAAUAAAGGAAGAAAUGCACAAAAAGUAAAAAAAAUUAACCAUCAUUUAUCAUUACUUAUUACAGGAGGAUAGCAAUGGUCAGGUGUGUGGGGGUGUACUCCCCCAGAAAAUGUUUGAAAUUUGAACCACGGAAAUGCCAUUUCCUGCAUUCUGAGCAUCCAAAUUUGCUCUAAAAUCUAUGCUAACUAUAGUUGUAUUUGAAAUAAAAGAUGGAAAAAUGCACAAAAUUAGAAUAUUAACUGUAAUAACUAUAAAAAAGAAUAUUAACUGUAAUUUAUCAUUACUUAUUAGAGGGAUAAUCCCAAGAAAAUUUUUGAAAUUUGAAACCGUGAAAUGCUAUUUCCUGCAUUCUGAGCAUCCAAAAAAAUAAAAAAAAUAUUAACAAUAAUUUAUCAUUACUUAGUGGUAAAAAAAGUAACAAUUUAAAUCGAUUUUGUUAAAUAAGAACAAAGGAUAAAGCCUAAAACUUACUUUCCGUUUAUCUAUUUGUUAAUCUUCGCUGGAUUGUUUAUAUAAUUUUAGGAAAAAGGGACUUUUCCUGGGGGGGCAAAAUGUGAUUUCGUGGGGGGGGGGGCACAAUGGGGGAAAUGCCCCCCCCAGCUUGUAUGUUAAAAAAGGCCCUGAUCAGGCAUCUCCAGAUGAACUUUCUGGUAGCAUGCAGAAUAUAUUGAAUUUUUUUACAUGACAUGAUUGAUUAACAUACUGAAUAAAAUUUCUAUUAUGCUGUACUAUAGGUUACCUUGAGCUCAUGGAAACAUUACAGAUUGUACAACACUAACAUCGAAUAAACAUGGUGAUGAGUGUGGAGAUGUGGUUAUAACAACCAUAUAGUGGUUAACCAAUCAGAAACAAAUUUAAAGAGAGGAAUAAAUAUAGAAGAAACAAUACAGAUUGGAUGCUGAUGAAACAAAGAUGGAAGAAUGUAUUGUCUUAUAAUAACAAUUCACAUUACAUAAGAGCACAAGUAUUGUUUAUGAGUUGGAUUAAUUUGAUUGAGUUGAGAAUAGUUUGAUUGACUUGGGAAUAUUAUCCAGUGCUGGUUGAGAGACAGAAAAUUAUGUCCUUAAAUAGCCACCUAUAAAAUGUUUUCUAGUUCUAUUUCCUGUAGCUACUUUAUAUAUUUCAUUAUCUUUUUGUAUGGAUAUAUGAUAACUGAUUUCAAGCACCAUGUUUCAUGCCAUGUGAACAAAAAUGUAGUAUAGCAGUUUUAACAUUCUGGCUAAAAUAGUUAUCUGGCCAACAUUGAGAUAUAAAUACUGAUAGUUUUGGUGGAGAUAACAUUACCAUCAUGUAACAUAGUCAGGGGGGGAAUUUUCUAAUCCUUACAUCUGCUUUGUUUUGUUUUAGAUGUUUAACAACG